UUUUCUUUUCUUUUUUUUUUUUUUUUUCACAUGAAAACUGCUUGCUCAGAUGUUUUUAGCUGUGACAAGUCAGUCAUAAUAUUUAUUUUCAGUAUCCUUCUGUAGAUGAAGGAUUAGGACAUCCUGGUGAGGCCAUAAAUUAAGUCCUAUAAGCAGCAGCACUAGCAUGUGUUCCUACAGACAGGAGAUGAUUGUCUUGUAACUAGCUUGAGCUAGAAGCUUAAUAGCACACGGGAAUGGAGCACAGAUUGCCUUCUCAAAUGACUGAACGAAUCAUUUCACUAAUCCAUUCAUGGCAGGAGGGUAAGAGGCUGAUGUGUCACUUUGAUACCGUUUCCUUGAAAAGCAGCUGGAACUCCUCAUAUUUGAACUAAGCCAUUGUCACUUACAGUCUGUUCAGGGAAUUCUUGUUCCUAGGCCUUAUUACUUCCCCUAUUUCCAGUUCACUGUCUGAAUUUGCAUAAAAUACUUAUGACUAUUUUCAACACCUUUUGCUUAUAAAGAUUCAGCACAGUAGCUGAAACUGAAUCAAUUGUUCAUUCUCCAGUGAGUAUCAGGAAAGUGCCAGGAUAUGUGUUUGAUGUUCUAAAAAGAGCCAGUACGGCGUACUGUCACACACUGACCCAUUCUCAUCCCUCACUGUGCACAGGCUGCUACAGAGUAAUUAGCCAUUCCCAAAGGUGUAACACAACGUAUUUUGCAUAUUUUAUGGCUGUCAUUCUCCUUGAUUCUGCCAUUUCUUCUUACUUGUGGAACAUACGACACUGUGCUUGUGACGAUGACUAUAAAUUUCCCAAGGAUGAAGUAAGAUUUCCCAAGAAUAACUGUUCUGGCUCUUCUUUGACAUACACUAAAUUAUUAAUUUUAUGCAAUUAAUUGGGAUUCGGUUCUAUUCCCUUAUGUUGCGCACUUUUUCUUAUUGUAACACCAUACAUGUUAGCCAACAUUAGCACACGUUUGUUUUCAUGUCGCAUCUCACUGUUCCCACAGGAUUCAGUUUGUGCCACACACAACAGAGGAUGAGCUGCUUCCAGUUGUGUGUCCUGACUGUCCAACGUGCCAUCACUGGUGGAAAAUGUGCUGUACAUCUGCCACUCCAGGUACUCCUCCUAUGGAUUACACAUCAGGUGGAAGGUCCAGGCCGCAUCCCUCCCAGCUUCCCUCCCAGCGCCUCAGUAGCUGAGCUGCACUCUUUCCAUCAUGUGGCAUAUGGAGGAGGGGACCUAGAUACAGCUCCCAUUCAUCACAGGAGCUGUCUCCAGCCAUGA
rnacentral:lncRNA from 1 species